UUUCUGCCAUACUAGAAUCUAAUAAUAAAAAAGUAACAAGGAAAAUACAGGCAUAGAAGACUUCAUACACAAAGCUUGCACCCAAAGAGGUGUUACUACUGAUGUCACCACUUUCCUGGAGUUUGUUGCUAUAAACUGAUUGUGUUGUAAUAAAGCAAAAGACCCAUCUAUAUAUCUUACACUAUGUUAAAACUCAAUGCAUUACUUAAUAAAAUUAUUAAAUUGAAGAAUCUAAUUAAAAUCUGAAUCAAAUAUAUGGUAAAAUUAUACAUACAAAUUUUUGUUCUUUUAAAAAAAUGUUUUGGCUUCAUAUGCUAAAGAAAAUCAUGACAUAAUUUAAACUGUUGCUGUGUCUCGCUAAGUAAACUCUAACAUCCGGUUAACAUUGGUUAACCUUCACAGCAACAGCUACAAACUAAAUACCUUUUUAUAGUAGUUUUAGCCCCACUGAGUUAUUUUGAUUUGUAAGGUUGAAAGAUAAAAUAAACUUAUAAUGUGCUGAAACACAUGACCAUAAAGUACAGUAUAUAUGAAAUAAUUACUAAUAACUUGAAUUUAAAAUGUAAUUUCUACAUUUAAAGCUCCUCACUCUAUCUCUAAGGGAGUGCCCGGCCACCCUAUGGAUAUAUCAAUGUAUAAAUAUGUUUUUGGCACUUUUUGGUUUAUGGAACUGUGGCACUUUUCCAAAUAGUAUGUAUAGACCCAUUUACAGCUUACAUUAUCAAGAACCUGUGCGCGUAGUGUAGCAACAGAAGAAUUGCCUUGAAUGGUGUACCCCCGCCGUUUUUCAAACAUAAGAGGGAGCCACUAAAUAAAUAAUACUAAACAAUAAUGCGCACCUGCAUCAAACUGUCAGGUUGUUGAGUUUACGGUUGUUCAAGCCAGUAUUUCCAGGACAGAAGUUCCACCGCAUUCCAAGGGGGUAUCGACCGUUUCAGAGCCACCGUGGGUGGCUUCAGGCUAUCAAGCGGAUGGAUUGGACUGAGGACACUAUCAAAAAUGCAUGACUCUGUGAUGCUCAUUUUAUAUCAGGUAAGGUUAUGUAUCUACACUUUGAUACAACUAGAAACCCUGGUUUUCACAAUUGUUUGUAAAGCGUAGACCCACAAUUAUUGCAGUUAAAUUUGGAUGAGUGAGGACCAUUUUUCCUAUUUCCUGGGCGAAGUGAAGAGCGUUUGUUGUAAAGUGAGGAUAUUUUCAUGGUCCUCACUUGGUAUUUUGCUAUGGGUUAGGUUUAGGACUAAGGUGUGAAUUGAGUUUAGGUGAGGUUUAGGAUUAGGUAUGUACUGGUAAAUAGUUAGGUUUAGGGGUAGGGUCAAGUUUAGGCCAUAGAAAGGGUUGAAAAUGAAUGGAAAUCAUUGGAAAUCAAUGUCAGUCAAUGCAUGGUCCUUACAACAUAUAGCAAGACAAGUGUGUGUGUAUGUGUGUGUGCGUGCGCACGCUUUAUUUGCAGGUGAAGCAUUUUUGGACUGGCAUAGACCUGAUUCUGUGCCUUCUGUGUCUGUGUACACUAAACAAAACCAGAGACCUGAGGCAAAAAUGGAAAGGCAUCACAGGAAAAGGAGGAGAGAUGAAACAUGCCACCAGAUCGACUCUGUUCUUGUGACACUCGAGAACAAUAACAACAAGAAUCCACCAUGGAUCAUUGUCCUGCUCAAGAAGAUGCCCCUGUCCCAAGGAGUCAACUUCAGGAUGACAAAAAUCAACCUGCAGCAGGAGUUUGACACAUUGCAGGCUGUAAAUUAAAAGUAAAAGAGGAACUGGAAAAAUUUAAGUCUUCUAUACAGCUGUAAGGUGCAACAUUGGACAACUUAUUUUUCUAAUAGGACUUACAUACAUCUGUUGUCUUUCAAUGCCUGCUUACAGAAAUAUUGGGAAGUAUAGAGAAAAUUAGCCAAAGACUUAGUCAAGAGGACCAUUUAAUGGUUGUCCUGAUGAAAUUAAGGCUAGGCCUCAGUAACCUUUUUCAGAUCUAGCGCUGGAUACUGUACAUGCCAUGGCCAAUAUGGCCAUGAAGAACUUUAAGGUUUUACAAACAGAAGUUCUGCUAGUGAUGGGAACUUCUGCUCCUUUUAAAGAACUGGUUCUUUAGGCCACAUUUAUAGUAACAUUUAAUGUGUUCCUCAACAGCAACAUUGAACAGAACCCAAUCAUUGUAACAGCAGCCUCAAUCAUUGUGGUGCAGCACUGGCCACGCCUAUUGCCAAAUUGUCAUCCAAUGUGUAUAACUGCCGGUCCUCCAUUCAUCUGCUAGUGCAAAAAGAAACAAUGACAAUGAGACAAUGAGAAGUGGGAAAAAACUGCUCCCAAUCAAGAGCUAGCUCUAGUUAACAUCAAAGAUCCGGCUCUGAGAGCCAUUUAGUUUGCACCAACACAUCAAUAAAUUCCACUGGCCCUGUUAGAUGAUGUUGUUCUAUGUGAUGCCUUGACAAAACCUCCGUAAAAGUGUUAUCCCAAAUAAGUAACUGUUAAGGAACUGUGCAUAGAAACUCAUAAUUUAAUUUAAGUAGACCAUGUGGGCCUUUGUUUUCUGGAUUCCACACUAAAUGAUAAAAGUGAUUAAAUGAAUAUUCCGGCAAAAAAUAAGCCUGUGGUCUACUGUCAGCAGCUUUUGUUUUCACUCAUAAACCUGAGAGCAGAGACCCAGUAGAACUGGGUCUGCCCUGGAGAGACCCGCCCUGGAGAGACUAAGUAUGCCAACUGCAAACUUCUCUAGUUGUUGACUUCUAACCAAACAGCCAGAAAACAAACUCGCCAACUCCAUCUCUCCAGGGUUCACGCAGUCCCACAAUGUGUUAGACCAUGGAUUAAAUCUACAAUGGAAUAAGUCAUCUUCCUCCUCAGAUUAUUUCAUAGUAUUGGGGAUAGGGUUUCAUUUACAUACAUUUAAAAUGAACUUUCUACUUACAUAUAUAAUGGUCCUGUUUUCUGAAGACUUUGGAUAUGUACAGUAUGGAUUGAAAAAUUAAAUGUCUUGAUGCAGUGGAGAACAUCAAU